rfam:Felis catus isolate Cinnamon breed Abyssinian chromosome D4, whole genome shotgun sequence.
GCCUGGGUGGCUCAGUUGGUUAAGCAUCUGACUUCAGUUCAGGUCAUGAUCUCAUGGUUUGUGAGUUUGAGCCCUACAUCAGGCU